rnacentral:rRNA from 1 species
GAUGAACGCUGGCGGCGUGCCUAAUACAUGCAAGUCGAACGCGCAGCGAAAGGUGCUUGCACCUUUCAAGCGAGUGGCGAACGGGUGAGUAACACGUGGAUAACCUGCCUCAAGGCUGGGGAUAACAUUUGGAAACAGAUGCUAAUACCGAAUAAAACUUAGUAUCGCAUGAUACAAAGUUAAAAGGCGCUACGGCGUCACCUAGAGAUGGAUCCGCGGUGCAUUAGUUAGUUGGUGGGGUAAAGGCUUACCAAGACGAUGAUGCAUAGCCGAUUUGAGAGACUGAUGGGCCACAUUGGGCCUGAGACACGGCCCAAACUCCUCCGGGAGGCUGCAGUAGGGAAUCUUCCACAAUGGGCGCAAGCCUGAUGGAGCAACGCCGCGUGUGUGAUGAAGGCUUUCGGGUCGUAAAGCACUGUUGUAUGGGAAGAAAUGCUAAAAUAGGGAAUGAUUUUAGUUUGACGGUACCAUACCAGAAAGGGACGGCUAAAUACGUGCCAGCCGCCGCCGUAA